rnacentral:rRNA from 1 species
CAGUCGCCGCGGGAAUACGUAGGUGGCGAGCGUUGUCCGGAAUUAUUGGGCGUAAAGCGCGCGCAGGUGGUUUAAUAAGUCUGAUGUGAAAGCCCACGGCUCAACCGUGGAGGGUCAUUGGAAACUGUUAAACUUGAGUGCAGGAGAGAAAAGUGGAAUUCCUAGUGUAGCGGUGAAAUGCGUAGAGAUUAGGAGGAACACCAGUGGCGAAGGCGGCUUUUUGGCCUGUAACUGACACUGAGGCGCGAAAGCCAGGGGAGCGAACGGGAUUAGAUACCCCGGUAGUCCCUGUCUCUUAUAA